CAAUAUUCCGAUGGAUAGCUUGACACGUAAAGUAACUUGUUAUAACUCUGUCAUUAAAAUUGCGUUACGUAUGAUUGAAUUCUCAUGGAGGACCUUGUGAGGGUCCGGCGUGCGGCGGUCAGUCCUUAGCAAUUGACAAAGGUUUGAAUUAAUAUGUGGCGGUCGAAGUGUAGGUGCAGUGAGUAUUUAGUAUACAUGUUAAUGGCUUGCCCUGACUUGCAUUUGUAUUG